UGUAGUGACUCGCUCGCUCCUCCCUCUGGCGAAAUAAUGUCGUCAAUGCCUCAAUCGUGCAGCAGCAAGUGCUCGGUCUCCGGUGAUCGCCGUCACUGGUCGGUCGCUGGCGGUAUGUGCGGCGGCUUGUGCUUCUUCGGAGGUGCUUCAGGUUUUGGCUCAGGCUUAGGCUUAGGUUUCGGUUCAGGCUUUGGCUCUGGGUAUGGUUUAGGCUCCGGUUUUGGUUCGGGCUUAGGCUCUGGUUUAGGUUCAGGCUUCGGCUCUGGUUUUGGCUCCGGCUGUGGCUUGGGCUCUGGCUUUGGUUCUGGGUGUGGUUUGGGCUCUGGCUUUGGUUUGGGCUCCGGUUUUGGUUCCGGCUUCGGUUCCGGUUUUGGCUCUGGCUUCGGCUCUGGGUACGGCUUUGGUUCUGGUUUUGGUUCUGGCUUAGGCUCAGGUUUAGGCUCCGGCUCAGGUUUUGGCUCUGGCUUCGGCUCCGGUUUUGGCUCUGGGUAUGGUUUAGGUUCAGGCUUAGGCUCAGGUUUUGGUUCUGGCUUUGGUUCCGGUUUAGGCUCAGGCUCAGGUACUGGUUUUGGCUCCGGCUCUGGCUUGGGCUCAGGUUUUGGCGUGGGUUUAGGAUGAGGCUUUGGCUUUGGCUUCGGCUCCGGCUCCGGCAGCUUCUCGUAUGUCACACGACCCUGCUUGCUCAUGAAGCGGGCGCCAUGGCCGAGCCCCCGG
rnacentral:misc_RNA from 1 species